rnacentral:rRNA from 1 species
CUACAGGCUUAACACAUGCAAGUCGAGGGGCAUCAGGAAGAAAGCUUGCUUUCUUUGCUGGCGACCGGCGCACGGGUGAGUAACACGUAUCCAACCUGCCCUUUACUCGGGGAUAGCCUUUCGAAAGAAAGAUUAAUACCCGAUAGCAUAAUGAUUCCGCAUGGUUUCAUUAUUAAAGGAUUCCGGUAAAGGAUGGGGAUGCGUUCCAUUAGGUUGUUGGUGAGGUAACGGCCCACCAAGCCUUCGAUGGAUAGGGGUUCUGAGAGGAAGGUCCCCCACAUUGGAACUGAGACACGGUCCGAACUCCUACGGGAGGCAGCAGUGAGGAAUAUUGGUCAAUGGGCGCUAGCCUGAACCAGCCAAGUAGCGUGAAGGAUGAAGGCUCUAUGGGUCGUAAACUUCUUUUAUAUAAGAAUAAAGUGCAGUAUGUAUACUGUUUUGUAUGUAUUAUAUGAAUAAGGAUCGGCUAACUCCGUGCCAGCAGCCGCGGUAAUACGGAGGAUCCGAGCGUUAUCCGGAUUUAUUGGGUUUAAAGGGAGCGUAGGUGGACUGGUAAGUCAGUUGUGAAAGUUUGCGGCUCAACCGUAAAAUUGCAGUUGAUACUGUCAGUCUUGAGUACAGUAGAGGUGGGCGGAAUUCGUGGUGUAGCGGUGAAAUGCUUAGAUAUCACGAAGAACUCCGAUUGCGAAGGCAGCUCACUGGACUGCAACUGACACUGAUGCUCGAAAGUGUGGGUAUCAAACAGGAUUAGAUACCCUGGUAGUCCACACAGUAAACGAUGAAUACUCGCUGUUUGCGAUAUACAGUAAGCGGCCAAGCGAAAGCAUUAAGUAUUCCACCUGGGGAGUACGCCGGCAACGGUGAAACUCAAAGGAAUUGACGGGGGCCCGCACAAGCGGAGGAACAUGUGGUUUAAUUCGAUGAUACGCGAGGAACCUUACCCGGGCUUAAAUUGCAGUGGAAUGAUGUGGAAACAUGUCAGUGAGCAAUCACCGCUGUGAAGGUGCUGCAUGGUUGUCGUCAGCUCGUGCCGUGAGGUGUCGGCUUAAGUGCCAUAACGAGCGCAACCCUUAUCUUUAGUUACUAACAGGUUAUGCUGAGGACUCUAGAGAGACUGCCGUCGUAAGAUGUGAGGAAGGUGGGGAUGACGUCAAAUCAGCACGGCCCUUACGUCCGGGGCUACACACGUGUUACAAUGGGGGGUACAGAAGGCAGCUAGCGGGUGACCGUAUGCUAAUCCCAAAAGCCUCUCUCAGUUCGGAUCGAAGUCUGCAACCCGACCUCGUGAAGCUGGAUUCGCUAGUAAUCGCGCAUCAGCCAUGGCGCGGUGAAUACGUUCCCGGGCCUUGUACACACCGCCCGUCAAGCCAUGAAAGCCGGGGGUACCUGAAGUACGUAACCGCAAGGGGCGUCCUAGGGUAAAACUGGUAAUUGGGGCUAAGUCG